rnacentral:rRNA from 1 species
AGCAGCCGCGGUAAUUCCAGCUCCAAUCGCGUAUAUUAAAGUUGUUGCAGUUAAAAAGCUCGUAGUUGAAUUUCGGGAUUUGUCAGUUGGUCGGGCUUCACUGUCCGUACUGACUUGAUGGAUUCUUACCUUCUGAAUAACCAGCAUGCUAUUUAGUUAGUGCGUUGGGGAAGCAGAUCUAUUACCUUGAAAAAAUUAGAGUGCUUAAAGCGGGCUAGUGCUUGAAUAGAUUAGCAUGGAAUAAUAAAAUAGGACGGCAUGGUUCUAUUCUGUUGGUUUCUAGGAUCACCGUAAUGAUUAAUAGGGAUAGUUGGGGGCAUUAGUAUUCAAUUGUCAGAGGUGAAAUUCUUGGAUUUAUUGAAGACUAACUUCUGCGAAAGCAUUUGCCAAGGAUGUUUUCAUUAAUCAAGAACGAAAGUUAGGGGAUCGAAGACGAUCAGAUAUCGUCGUAGUCUUAACCAUAAACUAUGCCGACUAGGAGUCGGACGAAGUUAAUUUUAUAAUGACUCG